GUUUUAGCUACGCGCCACCUAUUAAUACUGAAUAGCAGCUAUUCAGUUUACCAGCAGUGCACAGUAGAGUACACCAGGAGCAAUUAUAGUUUGAAUUCAAAAGUCAAAUCAAAGUGAACAUUAUAUUCUCUAAUCAUUUUAGUUUGUUUUAUCACAUUUUUAUCAGUUUUAUUAUCACAAAUUUAAAAUGAAGCCACAGUGUCAAGAUCUAAGGGUGAAGUUGAACCUAAUGAGACAACUUAAGUGUCAAAAACUGAAGAGUCAAGUGUUCAUUGUCUCUCUCCCAAGUACUUCAGUGGAACAAAUUAAACUGAAUCAACUAUAUGGGGUACCCAUACAAUGCAGAGACUUUAGCAAUAGUAAGGCAACAAGAGAAAAACCUCCGUUUCAUGGGAAGAAGCAAAACGUGAGAUACAGUCACAAAAAAGAUCUGUUGAAAAAAUACCGGCAAACAAUGCAGGCUUCCAGAUGCAGUGACUUGAAAGUGAGACCUAACCACUCAAGAAACGACGGUUUCAUCUUGGAACACGACAAUUCCUGGCCGAUCUUCGUAGAGGAAGAGGGAGUCAUGUCCCUCAGGGAGCUCUGCGUUUUAGCUGCUCAAAGAAACUUUCGACAACUGCAAGCAGAGAUUAAGGAACUACCCUUCGAACUCCAAUGGGAUAUCUACCAAAAUUUUUAGUAAUUUAGUCUACCAGAAUCUUAAAAUUCAGGAAUGGUCUCUAGUCUCUAUUGGAAAAUAAUCUCUUCAUCAAAAUUUGACCACAAGCAUCGAUACACCAACUGCAACUUAUAAUAUCUACUGACCUCUGCCUUUCUGACUAGUCAAUUAAAAAAAUUUUUAUCCAAGUAUGAAAGUUUACGGAUUUAGUAUAUCGAUUCCUUCCUCCUUAAAGUUACUCUUUAUCGUUGGAUGUAAAUUUGUUUUCCUAUUUGUUGGUUUAUUGAAAUUUUUUAAAACUUUUAAUGUGUUGGCUUUGGAAUAGUUAGGGCUUACUUUUGCUGUCAUUUAAUAUAAAGCACCAAAUUUAAACUGUU